rnacentral:rRNA from 1 species
CCUAGUUGAUCCUAUUAGUAGUCAUAUGCUUAUCUCAAAGAUUAAGCCAUACAUAUGUAAGUAUGAUCUAUUUCAGACUGUGAAAUUGUGAAUGGCUCAUUAAAUCAAUUAUAGUUUGGCAAAUCAUAUGUGAUACCCUAGUAACCAUAGUAAUUUUAGAGCUAAUACGUGUACAGAAACCCUGAAUUCUAGAAGGGAUUCAUUUAUUAGGCAAAAGGUUGAUAUGGGCUUAUGCCUGUUGCCCUAAUUAUUUAUGAUAACUUGUUUGAUGAAACAACACUUAUGCUGGCAAUGCAUCAUUCGAAUAUCUGCCUUGUUAACUUUUGAUGGAAGCAUAGAGGCUUACCAUGGUUGUGAUGGGUGAUGGAGAAUUAUGGUUCAAUUCCAGAGAGGGAGUCUGAGAGACGGCUACCACAUCCAAGGAAGGUAGCAUGCACGUAAAUUACCUAAUCUUGACAAUUGGAGGUAGUGAUUGUAAAUAAUAAUACUGGGCUUUUUUGAGUCUCGUAAUUCAAAUGAGUACCAUCUAAAUCCCUUAACAAGGAUCCAUUGGAGGGCAAGUCUAGUGUAAGGAGCCAUAAUAAUUCCAGCUCCAAUAGUGUAUAUUUAAAUUAUUGCAGUUAAAAUGUUCGUAGUUGGACCUUGGGUUAGGUCUGUUGGUCCUCCUCACGGUGUACACCGCCUACCGUGUCCCUUAUACCGAUGAUGCAUUCCUUACAUUAAUUUGUCAGGUCGUGCCUCCGGUGCAAUUACUUUGAAGAAAUUAGAGUGCUUAAAGCAAGCCCAUGUUCUAGAUAUAAUAGCAUGAGAUAACACCACAGGAUUUUGGUCCUCUUUUGUUGGCCUUAUGAAUCAGAGUAAUGAUUAAGAGGGAUGGUCCGAGACAUUCAUUUUUUAUAGUCAAAGGUGAAAUUCUUGGAUUUAUGAAAGAUAAACUUCUACAAAAGAAUUUGCCAAGGAUAUUUUUAUUAAUAAAGAAUGAAAGUUGGGGGCAAAGAUGAUCAGAUACCAUCCUAGUCUCAAUCAUAAAUGAUGCCUACCAAAGAUCAACGGAUGUUACUUUUCAUACUCCAUUGACACAUUUGUGAGGAAUCAAAGUUUUUUUUGUUUCGUUUAAAUUAUAUUGCAUUAAGCAUAAAAGAAGGUACAAAAGAGGACGAACCAAAAAACCCCAUACUCCAUAAAAAACACAACAGUGUGAAACAAAAGUCCAAAUAAAAAAUAGUACAAAAAUGCAAUAACCAAAUAAGAACUACUAAGCAACAAAGAGGGGAGUUACCAAUUUCCUAAUGUAGGAAUCACCAGGAGGAAUAAGGGGAAGUCAAUCGAGGGGCGGAGGGGGGAUGCCGAAGAAAGUGAAACACUUGACAAGAAGAUUGAAGAGCAUCCCAGUGCCCCAAUAACCCUACCAUGGCCUAGAUAGCCAUUCUACAUCUAGAAAUUAAGAAGUGCCCCAUCAUUCUAUCAAGGGGAUAACAUCCCCAUUAGUAGAGUCUUCAACCCACUUCUUCUUUUGCUGGUGGAGGUCUGUAAUAGGGCCAAAUUGUAGAAGUUCUUGUAAUGUCACUACCCCCUUAGAACAAGGUUUCUUUUAUUUAGAAUGGUCCAGAGUAAUAGCAAAGGACGGCUACACUGCAGUAGAGCGAGCUAUGGGAGCCAAACCCAAACUAUAGAGUAGAGGUUUGCCAGAGAAUUAGGGUCAUAAUUAAGGGU